rnacentral:misc_RNA from 1 species
GAUGAAGAACGUAGCGAAAUGCGAUAAGUAGUGUGAAUUGCAGAAUUCAGUGAAUCAUCGAAUCUUUGAACGCACAUUGCGCCCCUUGGUAUUCCAUGGGGCAUGCCUGUUCGAGCGUCAACUACAACCCUCAAGCCCUGCUUGGUGUUGGGCGUCUGUCCCGCCCCCGCGCGCGGACUCGCCCCAAAUCCAUUGGCGGCGGCCCUUGCCUCCCUCUCGCGCAGCACAUUGCGCUUCUCGAGGCGUCGCGGGCCGCGCUCCACGAAGCACGCAAACCAGUCUUUGACCUCGGAUCAGGUAGGGAUACCCGCUGAACUUAAGCAUAUCAAUAAGCGGAGGA